CGUGAGUGAUUGGGCCGCCUCCGUUUCCUUUCUUUCACAUAUAAGACAGAUCGGCGGUGAAGGGGGCUGGUGCUCGAUCGCUGGUCGAGUACCACAGAGAAGGGGAGUUCUUGCUGGGGAGCUCGUGCUCGAUCGCUUGUUUCCCUCUGAACCCUAAUUCUUGGAGCCAAACCUCGUCCCUGUGAUCCCCCUGUCUGCGGUGGAUAGAUAUAAGGAUAAGGUGGUAACCAAGCAGAGGCCACAGACGUUGGAUGCACUUUUUGCAGAUAUGAAGCAGCAGAGGAUGAGGUUGAUGACCCAGCAAGCAUAUCGUGGUAAUGGCCAUCAACCUGCACAAAAGCGAAAUGGCCUGCACCAACAUCGUGGCAGAGGCAGAUCACCAAGUGGCUUCACGCAACAGUGUGGCAACUUCAGUAAAUGAUACCUACUCGUGUUUCUCUUAUCUGCUUAUGCAUAUUAAUAAUGUCCACGUUUCUCUCAUUCUGGAACUUCAGCUGGUUAGACAGUGUGUAAGGAGGAUCCAUCCUGUUCUAUCUCCAACUUCACUUGUCUUUUCUAAUGCAUCGAAGCAACCGAGCAAGAAGUAUCACUAAGAGGUUCUUCCGUCUUCACAAACCUUCCUCGUACCUUCGGUUGGCUAUCUGCAAGAGCCUCCCUGCGAGCAUACUGCAAAACACCAGACUUGCAUCACUUUGCAGAACUUGCGGUCUGGUUGAAAAAUGCAAGUUAAAAUUAGCACAAGGAUGGAACAAACAUGGACUUUUGCUUUAUCAGCAGCAACAGAGGUUCAGAAGUUUUAUGGAUCAGUCACUGUUCUUAAGACUUUGUUUCCAUAAGAAAGAAACUAUGCGGGGAACACAAGGAGAAAGAAAAGAAAUCAGGUACUCUUCUUCUCCCUGUACCUGGAAAAUAUUUGCUGUCACUCUUCAAUCUUAAGAUCACCGAUGGUUAGGAACUUCUCAAUGGAAGAACAUUGGCUGUUGUCUUCCCUGUCCUCGUGCUUUUCUUGCUAAGAUUCUGCCAUAAAAGCUCAAUAAUUGGAGAAGUUCCCGAAGAAUCUUAAUCAUUUCCACUAAGUGCUUAAGCUGGAAGAAGUGAUGGCCAAGACAAGAAGAGAAUGGCUUGAAGAACUUCAACUACCGUAAGAAAAGGAAGAGAAAAAGGCAGAUUUAAUACACUGGAAAGCAGAUCAUGAAGGAAAAGGUAGACAUAUGCUGUCUUCCAAUUGGACCAAAGGAUCCAGAUUCUUCCUCUGACGUGGCUGAGUGAGGCCGAUGGCUUCACCUGUUUCCCGCCUGAUGACCUGAAAAAGAUGGUAUCCAAAAAUGGUGGGGACGAGAUAUUGUGGACUCUAUUUCCAUACAAACUCAAGAUAUGCUUUUCAAACUCUAUUUAUUGACAAUCGGGUAUCAUCGAGGAAUUUGUGCAAAUCUAUUGUAAAUGCUGGUUGAUCCCCGGAGUUAUAAAUGGAAAGAUUUUACGAUAUCAUUUGUUAUUUUUUUUUAAUUUUUCUUUAUUAAGUUACUAAAUAAAGGGAAAAUUUUGAUGAGCAUGGUAGGUUGGUCAAUGGCAAAAAGGAAGAGGGAAAAGGACAUGAACUCGAAGCAGGGAAAGGAGAGGAGAAUAGGAGUGGGAAUCUAACAGAUCAAUCCACUUGUAAGAGAGUUGUGAAGAGUGUGAGUUGCAAUGGGAUUGGAAGCUUAACAAAGGACAACACCUCCAAAACCCAAACAUGAAUGAAUAGUUGGGAGGUGUGUGGGUUGUGAUGAGGUUGACAGCUUGACAAAGAGAACUUGUGCUUUUGAUUGAGCCUUCCCUGCCAUUACUUUGUUCCUCUUAUUUCUUCUGCCUGUUGAUGCGUAUCCACCAUUGAUGGCACCAACUCAGGUUAUGUUCUUCUCGGAAGUGCUUCCUUGAUGAGCUCGAGGCUGUCAGCAAAGUCAUCCAAGAGCUGGUGAGGGUCAGGUAUGGCCAAUUCAUCCACUGCCAGAACUACUUUCAUGGUGUUCAUGUAACUCAUAAGAGUAACUGUGAGUGCCUGCCGAAAUGUUUCUAAUGGUGAAGAUGUCUACAUUGUGGAUAA